CUCAUCUGAAUUAACAGAGGGAUCAGAGACUGAAGAUGACGAAUAUGAGAAGGAACAUGAGGGACAUCAUUCUAAAUCCCAUGUGCAUCGAACGCUAAAUCCAGAGGAACGUCUCUUCCUGGUGGCGGAGUCAAGUCUGCGAGAGCUCCUGUCACAGUGUCCUUGUGGCAGCAGCGAUGCUGAAACAGACAUCUCAACAAGGGGCACAUGGCUGAGAGCAGCAACAGCUUGCAGCUGUGGGAAACUGCGUACAUG